AAGUGAUAGCAAAUACAAACAGGUAAAUACCUAAACCCUCCAAACACUACAAAAAUAAGGUCCUAGCCCAAGUAGUGAAGCUUUCCAUUGAGUGGAAGGAGAAGAACUUUCUCUGCCAAAUGAACAACGCACUAGUAGACGGCCUUCCUUAUCUUCAACACAAGCAAUAACAGUAGAUCUACGGAGCACAUACAAGGAAACUUGAUAGCUUGUCAGAGAGACGAGGCAAAGCACUAGGCGAUCUGACUCUUCUAUAGCCAUUGAGGAACUGGGUGCUAAAGAGGCACAAGUAAGUUCCUAGGGAUACCAACAUCUCUACUGCUG
rnacentral:misc_RNA from 1 species